CUGCAGCCAAUUAAGCCGACUGAGUUCCUUUCCUCAUGGGGGCCCAGUGUGCAAUGGCUGCAAACAGCAGCUUCCCUGGUAGUGAUGCAGCCUGUUUGUUGUAUGGGUUGCUCUAAGGGACCUUGGAGACAGUC
ensembl:snoRNA SNORA70 Small nucleolar RNA SNORA70